rnacentral:tRNA from 4 species
AGCCUGUUAGUCAAAUGGUUAAGACGCUGCGUUCUCAUCGCAGAGAUACCGGUUCGAAUCCGAUACAGGUUA